rnacentral:rRNA from 1 species
AGCAGCCGCCACGGGAAUACAGAGGGUGCGAGCGUUAAUCGGAUUUAGUGGGCGUAAAGCGUGCGUAGGCGGCUUCUUAAGUCGGAUGUGAAAUCCCUGAGCUUAACUUAGGAAUUGCAUUCGAUACUGGGAAGCUAGAGUAUGGGAGAGGAUGGUAGAAUUCCAGGUGUAGCGGUGAAAUGCGUAGAGAUCUGGAGGAAUACCGAUGGCGAAGGCAGCCAUCUGGCCUAAUACUGACGCUGAGGUACGAAAGCAUGGGGAGCAAACAGGAUUAGAUACCCCAGUAGUCCCUGUCUCUUAUAC